rnacentral:rRNA from 1 species
UACGUAGGGUGCGAACGUUGUUCGGAAUCACUGGGCAUAAAGGGCGCGUAGGCGGUCCAUUAAGUCCUUUGUGAAAGCCCCCGGCUCAACCGGGGAAUUGCAGGGGAUACUGUUGGGCUUGAGUGCAGGAGGGGAGAGCGGAAUUCCUGGUGGAGCGGUGAAAUGCGUAGAUAUCAGGAGGAACGCCGGUGGCGAAAGCGGCUCUCUGGUCUGUUACUGACGCUGAGGCGCGAAAGCUAGGGGAGCAAACGGGAUUAGAUACCCCGGUAGUCCUAGCCCUAAACGAUGGGUACUAAGUAGAGGGGACUCCGAUGUUCUCUCUGCCGGAGCUAAUGUAUUAAGUACCCCGCCUGGGGAGUAUGGUCGCAAGGCUAAA